GAUGAACGCUGGCGGCGUGCCUAAUACAUGCAAGUCGAGCGAACAGACGAGGAGCUUGCUCCUCUGACGUUAGCGGCGGACGGGUGAGUAACACGUGGAUAACCUACCUAUAAGACUGGGAUAACUUCGGGAAACCGGAGCUAAUACCGGAUAAUAUAUUGAACCGCAUGGUUCAAUAGUGAAAGACGGUUUUGCUGUCACUUAUAGAUGGAUCCGCGCCGCAUUAGCUAGUUGGUAAGGUAACGGCUUACCAAGGCGACGAUGCGUAGCCGACCUGAGAGGGUGAUCGGCCACACUUGAACUGAGACACGGUCCAGACUCCUACGGGAGGCAGCAGUAGGGAAUCUUCCGCAAUGGGCGAAAGCCUGACGGAGCAACGCCGCGUGAGUGAUGAAGGUCUUCGGAUCGUAAAACUCUGUUAUUAGGGAAGAACAAAUGUGUAAGUAACUAUGCACGUCUUGACGGUACCUAAUCAGAAAGCCACGGCUAACUACGUG
rnacentral:rRNA from 1 species